rnacentral:rRNA from 1 species
AGUGAACGCUGGCGGUAGGCCUAACACAUGCAAGUCGAACGGCAGCACAGUAAGAGCUUGCUCUUACGGGUGGCGAGUGGCGGACGGGUGAGGAAUACAUCGGAAUCUACUUUUUCGUGGGGGAUAACGUAGGGAAACUUACGCUAAUACCGCAUACGACCUACGGGUGAAAGCAGGGGAUCUUCGGACCUUGCGCGAUUGAAUGAGCCGAUGUCGGAUUAGCUAGUUGGCGGGGUAAAGGCCCACCAAGGCGACGAUCCGUCGCUGGUCUGAGAGGAUGAUCAGCCACACUGGAACUGAGACACGGUCCAGACUCCUACGGGAGGCAGCAGUGGGGAAUAUUGGACAAUGGGCGCAAGCCUGAUCCAGCCAUACCGCGUAGGUGAAGAAGGCCUUCGGGUUGUAAAGCCCUUUUGUUGGGAAAGAAAAGCAGCGGGUUAAUACCCCGCUGUUCUGACGGUACCCAAAGAAUAAGCACCGGCUAACUUC